GGGGUGAAAGGCCAAUGAGUGGUGGGAAGGAAAGGGAAAGAAGCUUCCAGAAGGCUAGGGGUAAGAAUGCAGCAGUGAACAUGGUUCCUGCACUCAUGAAGCAAAUGUAUCCACUGUGGUACAAAAGAGACUGUAAAAAACAAACCCAAAUGGACAACAGACCCCAACUCCAGUUUAAAAACGCCACCACUCAACAGCCUGUUUUCUGAGCCUAUGACCACAUAUAUGCUGCAGAACCCUUUCAGGGUGUAUCUGAAACUACUUCUCUUAAAGGCAAGCUGUAACUGGUGCCAGAAAAGACAGAAGCUGAUUGAGGUCCCAGCUUGGUAACAGUUUGAAGAGUUGCAGGACUGGCUGGAUGAGUACUGGCUGCAGCAAAUCAGGCUGCCAGGAUUCUUUAUGGCUGUUUCUGCUUCCACUACAGCUGAGUCAGAAAGGUCGCUGCCCCGUGGUGGCACUAGACGCAGUGGACCUGGCAAGCAAAUGUUUCCGCUAUUAGCUCUCAGCAACAGAGACUCAUUUAUGGUCACCUUGGAAAUCUGGGCUUAUCGAUCUACAGCCCAAGUCUGCUGAGAAGCUGGAGCUUACUAAAGGGGAAACCUGAGAGCUGUUCAAGCCCCAAAUAUUUUCCACUUCUGCGUCACCUCUGCUGUCUGUUAGCAGAGUGGAGGAGAAAAUACACAGCACAAACAACGUGAAAAAAUAGUUACUCUAUUCAUUAAAAGCUGUAACUUCCAGAUUGGACUUGAGAAGCAAUUAAGCAACAGAGGAACCUCAUCUACUAUCUGUAUUC
rnacentral:lncRNA from 1 species